GGAGGAGCGGCUGGAGGCUCUCCAGGCCAGCGGCAGCGGUGGCGUGCUGGCCACCCAUUCUCGUGACCUUGCUAAGGCCCCUGUUGCUUAACUCUCUGGCAAGCCCUUGGUUUCUGGCCAUUUUCCAGACUUCAUCACUCUUCUCUGCCAAUUCUAUGAGCCCCUGAUAGCCUUCCAAUAAAUUCCACUUGAUUACCACAUGGCUUGCAAUCAAGAACCCAGCAUAACACACAACCACUUAUUAAAUACUAAGUAAGAGCCAGACACUUGACAUGUGACAUCUUGUCAGAUCCUCAAACACCCCGGUGAGGAAAGCGUUAUUAUCCCUGUUUUCCAAAUGAGGACACUGAGGCUCAGGGAGCUGGGUGAUGUGUCAAAAGUUGCCCAGCUGCAGAGUGGCAAUGCUGGAAUUUGAAGCCAGGCUUUUCUGAUUCUGAAUUCCAUGUUUUCUUACUUGCCUUUUUCUUCUGCUCCAGCUUGCAGUGCCUCGGAGAGGUGGCGCUGGCUAGCCUGGGACUUCCAACAUACAGCCUACAUUGAUGGCCUGAGACUUGUGGCAAAAAAGACUUUCAAAAUCUAAUUUGCUCACAUACAUGAACACCUGCCAGGAAGGAAUUUGAGGCCUUUGUUCUAAACAUGGAAAAGCUGAGUUCAUUUGCCCCAGAGGGGGCACCUGCAGGGAAAAGGAAAAAUGGUUUUAACCCUUUCCUUGAGUCAGAAAAUGAGGCCACCAGAUUCUCCUUUCAUCCUUCAAGUAUCAGAAAGGUCUGUGCUGUGAAUUCCACAGAUGAGAUUCAUUGCAAGAUGUGAGGGCAGAGGAAAUCCAUGGAAAUGAAAUCCACAUUCAAACUGGAUGCAUGCGUUCAGCAACUGGAAGCUGAGUUCAUAUUUCAUUGCCCAACUACCCUGACCACUUGGGAAUCGCAGGUUUGGAAGGACCCACAGCCAUUCUGUGGAAAUGGAUCUGCUUUCAGGACCGAAUCUCAGACUUCUUGGGGAAGGUUUCAGUGGCUGCCUUUGCUGUGCAGACCUGGAGAUGGGUCUGAUGAUCGGACACCUGAAUUAUCUGUGUGGCUGAGUUUCAAGAAGACCUGCUGGGGUGAAAUGAAAAUGGUGCCUACUAGAAGCCCCAGUGGCUUUGCUGGUGGAGGCUAGCUUGCUCAUGUCCUCAUACAGAAGCAGAGAUGCAAGCAAGUGAGAAGGUGGAAGGACUCAGGUCUUGGGCCUUACUCUGAGAACUAUAACACCAUUCCUUCUGCUGCAUUCUCUUGUCUAAAUGACAUGGAUGAAGCUGGAAGCCAUCAUUCUCAGCAAACUAACACAAGGACAGAAAACCAAACACCGUGUGUUCUCACUCAUAGAUUUGCUCCUCCACUGGCUCUUCUUGUAGACACACGACUGCUACAGUAUCAAGGGUCUGAUGCAGACAUGACAAUGUCAAGAGGAAGAGGAGAGCCUCGCUCUUCCCAGGCUUUUGCUUUUAAGAGCAGAAAAACUUUCCCCAGAGUUCCACCAGCUCACUUCUCAUCUUACUUCUUUGGCCAGAACUGGCCCUUGUGCCCAUAUUGUCAGUCAAAUGCCGACAAAGGAAAGGGGCCACUAUGAGUGGUUUAGACUUGGAUUGGAUUUGUCCUUAUUGGAUUGUCCUUAAGUCCUUUGAAAAAGAAGUAUACAACAGAAUGAAAUCUUGACUCAGCUUUCAAGAAUAAAGAGGGUGAGAUGACUGAUGGAUGGCUAGCAAAAUCAGAUGUGGGCUCUGUCCUCAUGGAGCAUACAGUCAGAAGGGGAAGAUUUACCUAAUUACACUAACAAACUUAUAACUGUGGUCAGUGUUCUGAAGGAAAGGAAAUCCAGUUGUAUGGUAACGUAUAACAAAGAAACUGAACUAGGAUGGAGAUGGGGGUGGUAAGUGUAGUUGGGGAAGCCAGGGACAUGAUCUGUAAGAUGGCUGGCCUGGAUUCAAAUUCCACUCCACUUACUUGCUGUGUGAUUUUAGAUUAGUCGCUUCUCCUCUCUGAGCUCAACUUCAUCUAUAACAAUCUUUCCUAGGGUUGUUAAAGGAUUGAAUGAGCCACUCUAUGUAACCACUUGACACAUAUUAGGCACUUCAGUGGCUCCUUUUCCAGAUUAAAGAAGGAGAAAACGUGUAUGUUUGGAGUUAGCACAAGACAGGAUGAUUCCUCAUGUUUGUUUUGGAAAACAAGUCUUAAACUCACAGCCAUGACAGAGUCUGACAUCAUCAGACAUCAGGCGUGUUAAGAAUUGCACUCUUAAUUGAAAAUGUCCAGAGUUUGUGAUUAAUUGCAAUCCUUUUCAGAUCCUUUCCCUAAGAAUUUAAUUUUUCUCCCCACCCACCCGGAGGUCAGGCUUUUAAUGUAACAAGUACAAUCAAUCUUCCACUGAAGAUGGCCUCUCUCUAGUGCAAGCUGGAGCAGGACUCAUCUGGAUUAGAAGCCUAGACGGUUUGGAGUCACCUGGUGAGGUUUACGUGCACAGCUGGGGCCCAGCCUACCUAAUUAGGACCAGAGAGUGGUUGAGAAGGGGACCGGCGCGUAUUCUAGGCGCCCUCCUCCAGUGUCUGUUUCUAAUAAUGGCAGAAAGUAGCAGAGGCGGCGGGGUGAGCUUGGAGCGUGGUGACAUCAUCCCUCCAGCUGUUUUACACAUCUGUGACAUGGCUCAUUAGGACUCUCUUAACACCUCAUCCUUCCCUGCUCCACACAGCUCCAGUUGCAUGAGAAAAGGUGCUCUUGCAUGUGAGGGGCCCCAAGACUGGGGCUGACUUCAGGGUCAAAGAUUCGCUUGGGCACUCUACCAGUCAUCAGAAUUUUCACAGAGACACCCCCCCAACACACACACCCGCAGCAUGCGCUCCUUGAAAGUGCUAAUAGCUUCAAUAUGAGGCUGGCACUUCUGCAUGACUGUUGGUGUUCAGGGCCAGCCUAGUCUUGGGGAGUAGGCCAUCUGUAGCAGCUGCAGAAAUGUUUUUGCUUAUUUUGAGCAUUCUAAGUUUUUCCUAGCCAUGAAUAACAACAAUCGAAUAAAUCAUCCCACAGUGUGUAGGAUGGUCGUUUUUUUGUUUUUUUUUUUCAGCAAGAACAACAAAAAAUGACAUAUCAUGUACUAUGGAUAAUACACAUAAAAAAUUCCGCCAUAUUUAUAGGCAGCAGUUAACUAACUAUAUUUAGAUAUUUGAAACUGUCUUAAAUCAGAUGAAUGAUAAAAGCUUCCUGGAUUUCAGUGGAAAGCCUAAAUGACUAAACCAAAAAAAAAAAAAAAAGUUUUAUUACUAUGAAGUAUAGUGCAUAUUCUGAAAUAAAAGAUAUGUGAUAUUUAUAAAAUAAAAAGAGAAACUUUGUCAAUAGACAGCAUCAUUUAAUAAAGCAGGGUCCCAGAUUUACAGACCUUUGUUUGAGUUCUAAAAUUUACUAGGAAGGAGGGUGCAGGGGUGGAAGCCGUUCAUUGUAGCUCUUUAAAUUUCCUCACUUUUGAAUGGAGAUGAUAAAAUGCCCCUCACAGGGUUUUUGAGAGGACUAAAAAUAUAAGGUAUGGAAAGUGUUUAGCAUUGUGCCUAUCACAAAGUUAGUGCUUGAAUAUAUUAGCUAUUGUCAUUAAUACUAUUGCUAUUCUUAUUUCUUCUACAACUGUUAUUGUUGAAAUGCGAAGUCAAAAUGGUACAUUUUUAUCAACUAUUAAGUGCUAUCAUGUUUCAAUUAAUACAUAAUGUUAUUGAUUA
rnacentral:lncRNA from 1 species